GUGUUUCUUUUGAUAACAGGUGUAUUAAAACUGGAACAAUGCACAGAAAAUUUGCAUAAUUCCUACAUACAGAUGACAUACAGAUUUGUGGAGCAUUCUAUUUGCUU
ensembl:snRNA U6 U6 spliceosomal RNA